GCCUCCUUGGUGCAGUUGGAAGCGUGGAAGUCUCAUAAUCUUGAUUUUGUGAGUUUGAUCCUCACACGGGGCA
rnacentral:tRNA from 1 species